CAGAAACAUUUUCACAAUCCAAAAUGUAAUGACAGUUUACUUAUCCAGCCAAGUAAACUGUCAUUACAUAUUGAAUUGUUUGGAUUGUGAAAAUGUGCUAGAAGCUUAGACAGUUCUAGAAGGUAACAACCCUGUGUAAUACAGUGAAGCAGCUAAGUCACAGUAAGUUAUAUAAAUGUCGUGUGGAAAAACUGGAGCUCUACAGCAGAAAAGCAUGCCAAAGAGCAACCUCCUGUACUAGUCUGCUUUCCAAAGAGGCCACUCAACUAAGACUGUCCUGCUCUGUGACUCCAGCAGCUUUUAAGUCAUCUGUGCUUGUUUUGCUGGAUUUGUUUGCGGUUUUUGAAACAGUUAUCCACCUGAAUGUCCGUGUCUUUGAGACCUCACUCCAGUUGUCCAUGUCUUACCUCAGUUAUGUCCUUCAGGGUUUGAAUCGUAUAUCAUCUAUAUAACCAUUUAUAACCAUUCAGGUUCAUAAAGGUAGUUAUUAUAUAUAAUUUUAGACAUGUUUUGACUUGUGGACCAUAUGGAAAUGUCGUUAAUGUCAAAUAUCUUAGUCAGGAUGAUCCCUCUUUUGUUAAAAUUACACAUUUUUGCAGGAUCUGCUCAGAAUUCCCAAACAUUUGUGAGUCAUGACAAUGGGGUCUGUCAUUUAGAAACAUGAACAUUUUCAUAUUUCUCUCUCUCUCUCUCUCUCUCUCUCUCUCUCGCAUUUCAGCUGGAUUGCCCGACAGUUGCUGCUCUCAUCUUUGCCUCCUGGACAGAAAUAUCUUGCUGUAUGUUGAAUGAUCAUCAACUCAACCCUGCCAAGACAGAACUGCUCAUGUUUUCAGCUGACCUAACUUUGGUGUUAUUAUUGAUGCAUAUAUAAAUUGCACUGGCCCGAUCCUGCAGAUUUGCCCUGUACAACAUUAUGAAGAUCAGACUCUUUCUUUUGGGCCAUGCUACAGAACUCCCUGUCCAAGCUCUUGUUCUCUCCAAACUGGACUGUUGUAUUGCUCUCUUAGCAGACUUUCCAGCAUCUUCUACCAAGCCUCUGCAGCUAAUCCAGCCUAUGGCACUGAGACUGAUCUUCAACAAGCUAAAGAGUGCAGGUCACUUUAUUUUAUUUUUUAUAUAAACUGCUGUGUCUACUGUGUCAGACUAACUUGGAUUUGGUAUGUUGCUUUGGAUAAAAUGUCAUUUUAAAUGUAUGAAGGUGUAGAGCAAUUGCCAUUUAAUGUAGAUAUUUUUGCAUGCUCUUAUUUUCUAUAAUUGGAUUGUUCAUUUAACUUGACAUACAGUGCUUCUGUUCAAUUAUUAAUACUGUGAAUGUAUAAGUACAGAAUGUACAGUAGAGCUCAUUGCUCCACUGUCCAAAAAUGUUAAACUGUAAUUUGUCUGUGUAUUAUGAAUUGAGUAUAUUUUUAUACAACAUUUUUUGAUUAUUGUAAUUAAUGAUAUCUGUAUUUAUACAGUAAAUGCAUUUUAAUUUACAGAGAUUAAAUAUACAAAUCGUUUUCAAAUAUGUGCUUUUUGGAUUUAUUUCAUCGUUAUUGUACAUGAGGAAGACUAUACUUUUACAGUAAAUUAAUGUA